rnacentral:rRNA from 1 species
GAGUUUGAUCGUGGCUCAGAUUGAACGCUGGCGGCAUGCCUUACACAUGCAAGUCGAACGGCAGCAUGAUCUAGCUUGCUAGAUUGAUGGCGAGUGGCGAACGGGUGAGUAAUACAUCGGAACGUGCCCUGUAGUGGGGAUAACUAGUCGAAAGAUUAGCUAAUACCGCAUACGACCUGAGGGUGAAAGUGGGGGACCGCAAGGCCUCAUGCUAUAGGAGCGGCCGAUGUCUGAUUAGCUAGUUGGUGGGGUAAAGGCCCACCAAGGCGACGAUCAGUAGCUGGUCUGAGAGGACGAUCAGCCACACUGGGACUGAGACACGGCCCAGACUCCUACGGGAGGCAGCAGUGGGAAUUUGGACAAUGGGCGAAGCCUGAUCCAGCAAUGCCGCGUGUGUGAAGAAGGCCUCGGUUGUAAGUACGAC